AACGAACGCUGGCGGCAUGCCUAACACAUGCAAGUCGAACGAGACCUUCGGGUCUAGUGGCGCACGGGUGCGUAACGCGUGGGAACCUGCCCUUAGGUUCGGAAUAACUCCCCGAAAGGGGUGCUAAUACCGGAUAAUGUCUUCGGACCAAAGAUUUAUCGCCUUUGGAUGGGCCCGCGUUGGAUUAGCUAGUUGGUAGGGUAAAAGCCUACCAAGGCGACGAUCCAUAGCUGGUCUGAGAGGAUGAUCAGCCACACUGGGACUGAGACACGGCCCAGACUCCUACGGGAGGCAGCAGUGGCGAAUAUUGGACAAUGGGCGAAAGCCUGAUCCAGCAAUGCCGCGUGAGUGAUGAAGGCCUUAGGGUUGUAAAGCUCUUUUACCCGGGACGAUAAUGACAGUACCGGGAGAAUAAGCGCCGGCUAACUCCGUG
rnacentral:rRNA from 1 species